UUGCUUCGGCAGCAAAUAUACUAACAGUGGAACGAGACAGAGAAGAUUAGCAUGGCCCCUGCACAAGGAUGGCAUGCAAAUUCGUGAAGCGUUCCACAUUUUU